GACGAACGCUGGCGGCGUGCUUAACACAUGCAAGUCGAGCGGUAAGGCCCUUUCGGGGGUACACGAGCGGCGAACGGGUGAGUAACACGUGGGCGACCUACCCUCAGCUUCGGGAUAAGCCUGGGAAACUGGGUCUAAUACCGGAUAUGACCUUCCCUCGCAUGGGGGGUUGGUGGAAAGUUUUUUCGGCUGGGGAUGGGCCCGCGGCCUAUCAGCUUGUUGGUGGGGUGAUGGCCUACCAAGGCGACGACGGGAGCCGGCCUGAGAGGGCGACCGGCCACACUGGGACUGAGAUACGGCCCAGACUCCUACGGGAGGCAGCAGUGGGGAAUAUUGCGCAAGUGGGCGGAAGCCUGACGCAGCGACGCCGCGU
rnacentral:rRNA from 1 species